UUGCAGUUAAAAAGCUCGUAGUUGGAUUUCGGGUGUGGGGCGCCGGUCCGCUCCGGUGUGCACUGGCGGCCCAGGCCUUCUUGUCGGGGAUGCGCUCUGGUAUUGAUUUAUCGGACGCAGAGUCGGCGCAGUUACUUUGAAAAAAUUAGAGUGUUCAAAGCAGGCUUUCGCUUGAAUACAUUAGCAUGGAAUAACAUGAUAGGACUCCGAUCCCAUUGUGUUGGUCUUCGGGACUGGAGUAAUGAUUAAGAGGGACAGUUGGGGGCAUUCGUAUUUCAUUGUCAGAGGUGAAAUUCUUGGAUUUAUGAAAGACGAACUUCUGCGAAAGCAUUUGCCAAGGAUGUUUUCAUUAAUCAAGAACGAAAGUUGGGGGCUCGAAGAUGAUUAGAUACCAUCGUAGUCUCAACCAUAAACGAUGCCGACUAGGGAUUGGUGGAUGUUACUUGAUGACUUCGCCAGCACCUUGUGAGAAAUCAAAGUCUUUGGGUUCCGGGGGGAGUAUGGUCGCAAGGCUGAAACUUAAAGGAAUUGACGGAAGGGCACCACCAUGGCGUU
rnacentral:rRNA from 1 species